rnacentral:rRNA from 1 species
GACGUAGGGCGCGAGCGUUUGUCCGGAUUUAUUGGGCGUAAAGAGCUCGUAGGCGGCUUGUCGCGUCGUCCGUGAAAACCUGCGGCUCAACUGCAGGCUGGCGGUCGAUACGGGCAGGCUGGAGUUCGGUAGGGGAGACUGGAAUUCCUGGUGUAGCGGUGAAAUGCGCAGAUAUCAGGAAGAACACCGGUGGCGGAAGGCGGCUCUCUGGGCCUUACCUGACGCUGAGGAGCGAAAGCGUGGGUAGCGAACAGG